rnacentral:lncRNA from 1 species
CAGCCGGAGCAGCGACGGCGGCGGUUGCGGCCGCCCCCUGGCGGGCGCCGGUGGCUGCAGCCGGGCCCGUGAGGGCUGGGCUGGGCUGGGCUGGGCUCCCGCUCCCUCCGUCCGCGGCGGGAGAAGGGCAGGCCCUCAGCCAAAGCUCAAGCGGGGCGGCCCGGACAUCGGCGAGUCCCCGAGCGAGCGGUACAGUGGUUUACCAAAUCCAAGUUUUGAUCAUCUGCAGAGCCUGUUGACACACCAGAAUUUCACAAACUUUACAGAGAUUAUAAACAACCGUCGUGGGACUUAAGUUUUCAAUUGUUGAGUGGGUUAUUCCUUGCAUUGUUUGUCUGAUUUUAUUAGGCCUGUUU